rnacentral:rRNA from 1 species
CACGUAGGGGGCGAGCGUUGUCCGGAUUUAUUGGGCGUAAAGAGCUCGUAGGCGGCUCAGUAAGUCGGGUGUGAAAACUCCAGGCUCAACCUGGAGACGCCACCUGAUACUGCUGUGGCUAGAGUCCGGUAGGGGAGCAUGGAAUUCCUGGUGUAGCGGUGAAAUGCGCAGAUAUCAGGAGGAACACCAAUGGCGAAGGCAGCUCGCUGGGACGUGACUGACGCUGAGACGCGAAAGCGUGGGGAGCAAACAGG